rnacentral:rRNA from 1 species
UCGCGAAGCCGCGAGGUGGAGCUAAUCCCAUAAAACUAUUCUCAGUUCGGAUUGUAGGCUGCAACUCGCCUACAUGAAGCCGGAAUCGCUAGUAAUCGUGGAUCAGCAUGCCACGGUGAAUACGUUCCCGGGCCUUGUACACACCGCCCGUCACACCACGAGAGUUUGUAACACCCGAAGUCGGUAGGGUAACCUUUAUGGAGCCAGCCGCCGAAGGUGGGACAGAUAAUUGGGGUGAAGUCGUAACAAGGUAGCCGUAUCGGAAGGUGCGGCUGGAUCACCUCCUUUCUAAGGAA